rnacentral:snoRNA from 1 species
AAGAUCAAACUUCUAGGGAUCACUCCUAUAGUACGCAUCACCAGGACGUCAGUCAAAUCUGACCCUGGGCAGCCAACCAUGAUGACGAAAAGUGUCGGCCGUUCGUCAGCGUGAAACGGCUAUGGGCUGUCAGCUCGAUUUCCUCCUUCGUGGGGUGCCUGCUGACUUGGCUGAUAGUCUGGUUGAUCGCAUUGCCGGGGCCUGAACGUU